GAAUGCAAACUUCAGGCCCUUCUGAUGCGUUCAAGUGGAACUAAGUAAAAGUACAGUAGGAGGAAGGAGCAGCACAUCCACUGCUGAGGAAGAGAUGCCGGAUCCGUCCAGCCAGCUCUGCUCCUCUCGUUCUGUCCUCACUGAGACACACCCACCUCUCUUCUGGAGCUACAUGGACAGAGGAAUUCAAGAAGGUUGCAGACUCUGCAACAGGCUCUGUGAGAAAUGACUCCACCGUAUGCAGUCACUGACGGAGCUUCGGCAUAUGGCCACCAUCAUUCUCUCCAAGCCACCUGUUUGUGUUUGUCAACCGAUAAGAGACAAACACACAAACAGGCUGUAAGUUGCUUACAUCUUUUAAAAAAUAUAUACAAGAUGUGAUAUAAUGAUGUUGGUAAAAUCCUUAUUCUUAAUGUGUUUCACCUCUGACUGAUUUGUGAAAAUAAAAGGCUGUUUGUUCUGAUAUUCCACUUAUUAAUAAAGCUUAU